GCAAGAGAAAGCUAGCAAUUCUGAUGCAGCAAAAGAGUCAGUUGUAUCACGACUUGGCAGUGAUUGUAAUUCAUCAGAAUUGCAUGAAUUUUCAAAUAAAGAUAAUAAUUCAGAUAAAAUGCUUCUUAGGGGNNNNNNNAUUUAGCAAGAAGUUGUUUGGGGUUGAUCUUUCAGUUCCGCAUUCAGAUGCAAUGGUGCCAUCAGAGAACUUUAAAACCAAAAUAGUCAACAUCUCAGAUGUUGGACCAUCUAUGGCUUAUCAAAACAAUCCAGUGAAUAAUUUGGGUUUUUUUUGUUGAACCUCUAAAUUGUGUCAUGUUUGGAAAGCUUUGGUGCAGUAGGCAUGCCAUAUUCCCGAAAGGUUUUAAAAGCAGAGUUAAGUUCUUCAGUGUGCUUGAUCCAAGAAAACUUUGUAGCUAUAUUUCAGAAAUAGUGGAUGCUGGACUCCUUGGCCCUCUUUUUAAGGUAUCUUUAGAAGAAUGCCCAAGUGAAACAUUUACAAAUGUUUCAGCAGAAAAGUGCUGGGAAAUGGUGCU
rnacentral:misc_RNA from 1 species